CCUCCACCUACCUCCUCCUUCAGAUCUUCUCAGACAUCCAAGGAAGACGCACCGCCUUCUCUUCUCCUUCUCCUUCUCUUCCUCUUCCUCCUCCUCUUCCUUCCUCUUCUUCACCUCUUCAUCAUCUUCACCAGACUCCUUCAGCAUUGGAGAUGGACAACGACGACGAAAGAAGAAAGAGAAGGAGACAAAAAAAAAGAAAAAAACUGGUGAAGAUAAUGAUAACGAUAAUGACUAGAACGAAACGAACAGGAAGAUGAUGAAGAUGGUGAUGAAGAUGGUGAUGAAGACGAUGAAAAGAAGAAAAAAAAAAAAAUAGAAAAAAACAGUGAAGAUAAUGACGGUGACUAAAAAAAAACAAACAAGAAGAAUAAGAUGAUAACUCAGGUGAAGAUGAAGGAGGUGAAAAAAAAAAGAUCCUUCGGUAACUGCAACAUACCACCACCACCACCGCCUCCACCACCACCACCGCCACCACCACCACCACCACCACCACCGUCACUUACACGCGGAGAGUCACGCCCGUAAUCCUCCCGGCGUGAUAUUAACAAAGGCAGGAGUAAUGAGCGUAGCACUGAGCCUGAUGAUGAAUCUGUGAUGUCUUUGGCUGUGCUGAGGAGAGAGAGAGAGAGAGAGAGAGAGAGAGAGAGAGAGAGAGAGAGAGAGAGAGAGAGAGAGAGAGAGAGAGAGAGAGAGAGAGAGAGAGAGAGAGAAGGAAAGA